UGCAACUCGACUCCAUGAAGUCGGAAUCGCUAGUAAUCGUAGAUCAGAAUGCUACGGUGAAUACGUUCCCGGGCCUUGUACACACCGCCCGUCACACCAUGGGAGUGGGUUGCAAAAGAAGUAGGUAGCUUAACCUUCGGGAGGGCGCUUACCACUUUGUGAUUCAUGACUGGGGUGAAGUCGUAACAAGGUAACCGUAGGGGAACCUGCGGUUGGAUCACCUCCUUACCUUAAAGAACCUGCCUUUGYAGUGCUCACACAGAUUGUCUGAUGAA
rnacentral:rRNA from 1 species